rnacentral:rRNA from 1 species
GUGCCAGCCGCCGCGGUAAUACGAAGGGACCUAGCGUAGUUCGGAAUUACUGGGCUUAAAGAGCACGUAGGUGGUUAAGAAAGUUGGUGGUGAAAUCCCAAGGCUUAACCUUGGAACUGCCACCAAAACUUUUUAACUAGAGUAUGAUUGAGGUAAGCGGAAUUUCUAGUGUAGAGGUGAAAUUCGUAGAUAUUAGAAAGAACACCAAUUGCGAAGGCAGCUUUCUGGAUCAUUACUGACACUGAGGUGCGAAAGCAUGGGUAGCGAAGAGGAUUAGAUACCCUCGUAGUCCAUGCCGUAAACGAUGUGUGCUAGACGUUGGAAAUUUAUUUUUCAGUGUCGCAGCAAAAGCGUUAAGCACACCGCCUGGGGAGUACGACCGCAAGGUUAAAACUCAAAUGAAUUGACGGGGACCCGCACAAGUAGUGGAGCAUGUGGUUUAAUUCGAAGAUACGCGCAGAACCUUACCAACACUUGACAUGUUCGUCGCGACUCUAAGAGAUUAGAGUUUUCGGUUCGGCCGGACGAAACACAGGUGCUGCAUGGCUGUCGUCAGCUCGUGUCGUGAGAUGUUGGGUUAAGUCCCGCAACGAGCGCAACCCUUACUUUUAGUUGCUACCAUUUAGUUGGGCACUCUAAAAGAACUGCCAGUGAUAAGCUGGAGGAAGGUGGGGAUGACGUCAAGUCCUCAUGGCCCUUAUGUGUUGGGCUACACACGUGCUACAAUGGUAUUUACAGUGGGAUGCAAAGAGGCAACUCCUAGCCAACCCUCAAAGAAUACCUCAGUUCGGAUUGUACUCUGCAACUCGAGUACAUGAAGCUGGAAUUACUAGUAAUCGCGGAUCAGCGCGCCGCGGUGAAUACGUUCCCGGGUCUUGCACACACCGCCCGUC